UGGGGAAUUUUCCGCAAUGGGCGCAAGCCUGACGGAGCAAGACCGCGUGAGGGAUGAAGGUCUGUGGAUUGUAAACCUCUUUUGAUAGGGAAGAAGAACUGACGGUACCUAUCGAAUCAGCCUCGGCUAACUCCGUGCCAGCAGCCGCGGUAAUACGGAGGAGGCAAGCGUUAUCCGGAAUUAUUGGGCGUAAAGCGUCCGUAGGUGGUUAUCCAAGUCAGUUGUCAAAGCGUGGAGCUUAACUCCAUAAGGGCAAAUGAAACUGGGUGACUAGAGUGCGAUAGGGGCAAGGGGAAUUCCCAGUGUAGCGGUGAAAUGCGUAGAUAUUGGGAAGAACACCGGUGGCGAAAGCGCCUUGCUGGGUCUGCACUGACACUGAGGGACGAAAGCUAGGGGAGCG
rnacentral:rRNA from 1 species